rnacentral:rRNA from 1 species
GAUGAACGCUGGCGGCGUGCCUAAUACAUGCAAGUAGAACGCUGAAGGAGGAGCUUGCUCUUCUGGAUGAGUUGCGAACGGGUGAGUAACGCGUAGGUAACCUGCCUGGUAGCGGGGGAUAACUAUUGGAAACGAUAGCUAAUACCGCAUGACAACAGUUAUUGCAUGAUAACUGUUUAAAAGGGGCAACUGCUCCACUACCAGAUGGACCUGCGUUGUAUUAGCUAGUUGGUGAGGUAACGGCUCACCAAGGCGACGAUACAUAGCCGACCUGGGAGGGGGAUCGGCCACACUGGGACCGAGACACGGCCCAGACUCCUACGGGAGGCAGCAGUAGGGAAUCUUCGGCAAUGGACGGAAGUCUGACCGAGCAACGCCGCGUGAGUGAAGAAGGUUUUCGGAUCGUAAAGCUCUGUUGUAAGAGAAGAACGAGUGUGAGAGUGGAAAGUUCACACUGUGACGGUAUCUUACCAGAAAGGGACGGCUAACUACGUG